GCGGGGGUGCCCGAGCCUGGCCAAAGGGGGCGGACUUAAGAUCCGCUGGCGUAGGCCUGCGUGGGUUCGAAUCCCACCCCCCGCA
rnacentral:tRNA from 3 species